rnacentral:rRNA from 1 species
GACGAACGCUGGCGGCGUGCUUAACACAUGCAAGUCGUACGGGACCGGGGGCAACUCCGGUUCAGUGGCGAACGGGUGCGUAACACGUGAGAAACUUUUCCAACGGCGGGGGAUAGCCGGCCUAACGGCCGGGUAAUACCGCGUACGCUCUUCCGGGGGCAUCCCUGGGGGAGGAAAGCAGCCGCAAGGUUGCGCCGGUGGAGAGUCUCGCGGCCUAUCAGCUAGUUGGCGGGGUAAUGGCCCACCAAGGCGACGACGGGAGCUGGUCUGAGAGGAUGGCCAGCCACAUUGGGACUGAGACACGGCCCAGACUCCUACGGGAGGCAGCAGUGGGGAAUAUUGCGCAAUGGCCGCAAGGCUGACGCAGCGACGCCGCGUGUGGGAUGACGGCCU